rnacentral:misc_RNA from 1 species
AUUAUUUAUCACGUGAUCAUACCGGUAUGGCGACUCUGGAAGAUAAAGCAAUUUGGGAAGACGGAGAAGAGAGUUUGGGAGAGCAAAUAUUGAAAUUGAAUACAGAUGAAAUAGUUACAAGGACCAAACUUCUUGAAAAUGAAAUCAAGAUUAUGAAAAGCGAGAUUCUGAGGAUAAAUCAUGACCUAACAGCAACUAAAGAAAAAAUAAAAGAAAACACAGAAAAAAUAAAAGUCAACAAAACUCUUCCAUACCUGGUUUCAAAUGUUAUUGAGGUACUAAUUUUCCUUAUUCUUGUAAAAAUGGUGCUAAAAGAAUAUUGCAGUCAAAAAUAUUUCUGUUGGAGCUGUCAAAAAAUAAGGUUUAGCUGUCAAAAUUGUUAUUGAGUGUUGUUUGAUUGACAUUGUUUCAUUUUGAUUAAUGAUGGUGGGAAUGAACUGUUUCAAUUUUAAAUAUUUAUACUGUACCUUUAUUUUUUUCCAGGUAAAAUUUCGUACUGUAAUAUAUGUAUGUGAAAACAAUUUAUUUUUUGUUUGUGUUCUAGUUGCUGGACAUGGAACCCCAGGAUAGUGGGGAGGAGGAUGGAGCCAAUAUUGAUCUCGAUGCUCAACGGAAGGGCAAGUGUGCUGUGAUAAAGACAUCCACCAGACAGACAUAUUUCCUGCCAGUCAUAGGCUUGGUUGAUCCAGAAAAACUGAGCCCAGGAGACAUUGUGGGUGUUAACAAGGAUUCUUACUUGAUUCUUGAAACCUUACCACAAGAGUAUGAUUCAAGAGUAAAGGCUAUGGAAGUGGAUGAAAGACCUACAGAACAGUACUCAGAUAUUGGUGGUCUAGACAAACAGAUUCAAGAGCUCAUAGAAGCUGUAGUAUUGCCAAUGACACACAAAGAGAGGUUUGAAACUCUUGGAAUCCAACCACCCAAAGGUGUGUUAUUGUAUGGAGCCCCAGGUACAGGCAAAACAUUACUGGCUAGGGCCUGCGCUGCACAGACAAAAUCAACGUUCCUCAAACUGGCAGGACCACAGUUGGUACAGAUGUUCAUUGGAGAUGGAGCCAAGCUAGUCAGAGAUGCUUUUGCUCUAGCUAAAGAAAAACAGCCAGCAAUUAUAUUUAUUGAUGAGUUGGAUGCAAUAGGAACAAAACGAUUUGAUUCUGAGAAGGCUGGUGACCGAGAAGUCCAGAGGACAAUGUUGGAGCUUCUCAACCAGAUGGAUGGGUUUCAACCAAAUGCCCAAAUCAAGGUGAUAGCAGCCACUAACAGAGUGGACAUUCUGGAUCCUGCACUCCUGAGGUCAGGAAGGUUAGACAGGAAGAUAGAGUUCCCCCACCCCAAUGAAGAGGCCAGGGCCAGAAUUCUACAGAUUCACUCCCGUAAAAUGAACGUCAGCAAAGAAGUGAAUUUUGAAGAAUUGGCUAGAUGUACAGAUGAUUUCAAUGGUGCCCAGUUGAAAGCAGUGUGUGUGGAAGCGGUGAGUACCAAUACAUUUAUUUUAUCCAUUUAUGAAAAAAAUACAUGAUCUUCAACUGAUUUCAUUGAUAGACAUAUUAAUCGUUAUAAAGCAUGUAUAUUUUACAGUUCAUAAGAUAUUGAAAAUAUUUUAAAUCUUAAAAAAUAUAUACUAACAACAAAAAAUUUCCACUGUGCAAUACAAGAUUUGCAACGGUAUAUAAUAUUGAAAACAUCCCACUAUUUUCACCUUUAAAAUAUCAGGAAAUAAUUUUGCCAUAUUGGUGUACUGUUACAUGUUCUCUAUUAUUUCUUUUAUAACAAGAAUUUAAGGUACCAGUACUUUUAGUAAAUAAAACCACAAAUAGCAUCAGACUGAGGGAAACAAGCUCCUUUACUCUGUGUGAAAAUUGUAUAUAUCUUUAUCAAUGAUAAGAUAUUUCUAAUGAGUGAUUUGACUUUGUAGGGUAUGAUUGCAUUAAGGCGAGAAGCCACAGAGCUGGAUCAUGAAGACUAUAUGGAUGCUAUCAUUGAAGUGCAAGCCAAGAAGAAGGCAAAUUUGAUGUAUUAUGCUUAGAGACAUUGAGAGAACUGUGUUGUAUUUGAGAUCUGGGAACUGUUCUGCCUGUAAAAAACAAUUACCAAUAUUCAUUUUUGAUGGAACCAUUAUGACUGGAUGUUUAAUAUGUAUGUCAAUAAAAUGUCAAAAAUUU